rnacentral:rRNA from 1 species
AGAGUUUGAUCCUGGCUCAGGAUGAACGCUGGCGGCGUGCUUAACACAUGCAAGUCGAACGGUGGAGCCAAGCUUGCUUGGUGGAUCAGUGGCGAACGGGUGAGUAACACGUGAGCAACCUGCCCUGGACUCUGGGAUAAGCGCUGGAAACGGCGUCUAAUACUGGAUAUGAGCCUCUAUCGCAUGGUGGGGGUUGGAAAGAUUUUUCGGUCUGGGAUGGGCUCGCGGCCUAUCAGCUUGUUGGUGAGGUAAUGGCUCACCAAGGCGUCGACGGGUAGCCGGCCUGAGAGGGUGACCGGCCACACUGGGACUGAGACACGGCCCAGACUCCUACGGGAGGCAGCAGUGGGGAAUAUUGCACAAUGGGCGGAAGCCUGAUGCAGCAACGCCGCGUGAGGGAUGACGGCCUUCGGGUUGUAAACCUCUUUUAGCAGGGAAGAAGCGAGAGUGACGGUACCUGCAGAAAAAGCGCCGGCUAACUACGUGCCAGCAGCCGCGGUAAUACGUAGGGCGCAAGCGUUAUCCGGAAUUAUUGGGCGUAAAGAGCUCGUAGGCGGUUUGUCGCGUCUGCUGUGAAAUCCCGAGGCUCAACCUCGGGCCUGCAGUGGGUACGGGCAGACUAGAGUGCGGUAGGGGAGAUUGGAAUUCCUGGUGUAGCGGUGGAAUGCGCAGAUAUCAGGAGGAACACCGAUGGCGAAGGCAGAUCUCUGGGCCGUAACUGACGCUGAGGAGCGAAAGGGUGGGGAGCAAACAGGCUUAGAUACCCUGGUAGUCC